rnacentral:rRNA from 1 species
UACGAAGGGAGCUAGCGUUGUUCGGAAUCACUGGGCGUAAAGCGCACGUAGGCGGAUGUGUCAGUCAGGGGUGAAAUCCCGGAGCUCAACUUCGGAACUGCAUUCGAUACUGCCUUGCUAGAGUACUGGAGAGGAGACUGGAAUUUACGGUGUAGCAGUGAAAUGCGUAGAUAUCGUAAGGAAGACCAGUGGCGAAGGCGGGUCUCUGGGCCGAUACUGACGCUGAGGAGCGAAAGCGUGGGGAGCGAACAGG